GUCCACGCCGUAAACGAUGAUCACUCGUGAUUGGCGAUAUACGGUCAGUCACCUAGCGAAAGCGUUAAGUGAUCCACCUGGGGAGUACGAUCGCAAGAUUGAAACUCAAAGGAAUUGACGGGGGCCCCGCACAAGCGGUGGAGCAUGUGGUUUAAUUCGAUGAUACGCGAGGAACCUUACCAGGGCUCGAACGCACGUUGACAGGGGUGGAAACAUCCUCUUCUUCGGACAGCGUGCGAGGUGCUGCAUGGCUGUCGU
rnacentral:rRNA from 1 species